UGGGCAACCUGCCCCAGACUCUGGGAUAACCCCGGGAAACCGGGGCCAAUACCCGAUACUCCGGUCGAACCACAUGGCUCGAUCGGGAAAGCUCCGACGGUCUGGGAUGGGCUCGCGGCCUAUCAGCUUGUUGGUGAGGUAAUGGCUCACCAAGGCGACGACGGGUAGCCGGCCUGAGAGGGUGACCGGCCACACUGGGACUGAGACACGGCCCAGACUCCUACGGGAG
rnacentral:rRNA from 1 species